rnacentral:ncRNA from 1 species
GCGGGCACACGCGGACGCCCGACCAGACGGUUUGCCGUCCAAGCUCCGC